rnacentral:misc_RNA from 1 species
GACCCCUCAAGCGUAGCUUGGUUUUGGGCGUUUUUGUCCUAUUUCUGUAAUGGGACUCGCCUUAAAAGAAUCGGCGCCAAGUAAGCCAAUUCGCGGGCACAGUACAUUGUGGCUCCCAUGAUUGGGUUAGCGUAGCUGCCGUUAAAUCUUUUUCUAUUCUGA